AGAUGGUUUCCAGAGUUAGUUCCUUACAAGCAUUUCCUCUUGAAACAUCGGGAAUCUAAAUAAAGGUAAAUAAAUUCCAUUUACCAACCCCCAAAGGUAAAUUAAUUCAAGCAAGAAAGACUUUGGUUGCUCACAAGGCUGGAUGAAAACGUGUUUGGUGUAAACUUCAUUCAAAGAAAACUGAGCUAGCUAAGAAGGAGCUGUGAUAGCCUCUCUUAACUUUGGGAUUAUGGGGUGGUAAACAGGCUGUCAUGAAAAUGUCUAGAAUCAGCUAGAUGGUAGGAUUUGUGCUCUGAGAGGAUGGGGCA
rnacentral:lncRNA from 1 species